CCCUUGUGUAAAUCAUUUCAGUCUUGUUAUACUAAUCGUAAGCCUAGAGAUACAUUUUCUGGUACCUGUUCUUUGUUAAUACCAUAAGUGUCUUUUAAGUUCAGAUAUAAUUCACAUAAAAUUUACAUUUCUUGUGUUUCGGUAUUUUAUUUCAGCUUGCUAGGAAAUUGCUAGAGUAGAGCAUCAGUUACCUUUUUACGCAGCUUGUGAGUUACUGCCAUUACGGCUGGUGUAUCUAUUGGGCAUGUUAAUUUAGAAUUUCAUCAUUAUAUUCACAGUUCUUAAAUUAACUGGGAAGCAAGAAUAUGGCCACUAUUUGGAAGUUCUUGGUUAUUCUGACAUCCUAAGGACGCUUAAAAAGCUGUCAUUUGUUGAUUCAUACCAAAGCUUCUUAAAAGUAGUGUCCUUGUUUUCAGUAGAGUUUAACAAAGCAGGCUAGGGUAUUUUUUUCCUAAGUGACUUUGUUUUAGGAAAUCUAGUUGUCACAGUACUCCAAGUUGAGCCAGUUCCCCAUCAUAAUUCUGCUUACUAGGUGAGAGAAACAGUAAGGAUUUUUUGAGCAUCUUUCACCAGCCUAACCUAAGAGUGGUUACACCCAAUCCAAACCACAUUCCAAACAGGUAAUUGUAAGCCACUGACCUUGAACAAAGCAGAAAGUGCAUGCCUUAGAAUGUUGUUGGGGCAAUCUCUGGGUUGACCGUUUCUGUAGAACCACAGUGGGCCACUGUACUACUCAGUGGUGUGUCCAGUUCCUUUGGAUGGUUGGUUUUGGUUGCAAGGUAAGUGUAUUUCUGUUCCCUUUGUACCUUAAUGGGGCUGUCUGCAAAGUAUUUUAAGUUCACCUACAAUUUUUUUUGAAGUAAAUAGGAUAUACAUUAUAAAUAAACCUGUUUUAGGGUUGUUUGAAAAACAUAGUGGAUCUUAGUUACUCUACAGAAAGCCCACUCAGGUGGAUGUGUGUCAUUGCUUUUAGUGAAUGAAUAGUUCGUAGAAUGUUAGGGCUGGAAGUGACCCUGGCAGUAGUACAGUCUUAUCAGAUAAAGAAACUGAAGCCUACAGAUAGUGACUCCAAUUCAGCAACAGUGGAGUCUGGAAUCUGUUUGCCAACUGCUAGCUUAGUGCCCUUUCAAUUACACCGUGCUGUUGACCGGGGAGAAGGGCAUCCCUGGGGCUAACAUCUUGACCACCAACCAGCAUGGAUUUCCUGAGAGAGGCCCUAGAAUUUGCCUUUCUUGUGUUUAUUCUUCAAAAGUUUUGUUAAUAUGGGGCUUUGAAAAGCUUGUAAUGGUAAACUUAUUGAGCAGUUACUUGCUUCAUAUGCUUUUAUCUUCACAACAAUCUUUUGAGGUUAUGUUGAGCCCUUUUAUAGAUAAGAAAAUUAAGGCUCAGAAAAGCUAAAUAAAUGAGGUGACAUCUCCUAGUAAGUGGAGGAGCCAGGGUUAGACUCUACGUCUGAUUUCAAAGUUUAUUCUAGUAAUAAUAACUCAGCUAGUCUUCUCCCUGUGAUUUGCUAUGAAAAGGUCUUUUUGGCUGAGACACUUUUUCAGCAACUGAGUCCGUGAGAUUGUGGCCUAUGGCACCGCCUCCCUGUUCUGUCUCAGUAGUAGCAGGGUGACGUUGUGAUAAGUAGGCAAUGCUCUACUUUGAAAUCACUUCUUCCUACAUUUUAGGAAAUAAUGUGAGAUAAUUUGAAACAGUUCUGUUCACCGCUAUAGCAUUGUACCUUUUUAUUUUGAGAGCAUAGGUAGUUAAGGCAAAACCAUGGACAUUUCAUGUGUUGUGUGGGCGUUUGGUUGUGAUGUCUGCCUUUACUGGUUUUCAGUAUUGUCUGUGGGAGAAAAAUACCUCAGGCAGGCGGAUUUGGUUGGGAGUGUAUGGUCAUCUGGGUGCUAGAGAAUUUUUAGUUUCUUAUGCAAAUUGUACUUCAGCAUCUCUUCAGUAUUGUUUCUCUAACCCCUUCUUGGAAAACUGACACAUACAAAGUUGUUUUUAGUCUAUCGAACCCUGAUGGAAAUGCAGUAAAUAUAUAGGUGGACUGCUACAGAUGGUGAGAAAACUGAAGUGAUAAGACUCUAAGGAACUAGUGACCUCUGAAAACCAAAAGAAACGGCUGCAGUCCAGGCACAGUGAAUUACAUACUUACUCGCACCUGUGGAACUUUCUCAAGAGGAACAAUUGUUGUGUGAAGGUUCAAAUUCAGCUGUUAGCAUGGAACUUUCAGAACCUGUUGGUAAGAAAAUUUCUGACCAUAUGAAUACAGUAUUAUGAAACUCUUUCACUCUCAAGAUUUAAGGUGCACAUUAGAAAAUGGGGAGACAGAAAUGUCCCCAGAAGAAUCAUGGGAGCACAAAGAAGACAUCAGUGAAGCAGAGCCAGUGGGUGGCUCCUUUGGAGGUGGAAGGCCCCCAGAGGAAAGUGCCCAGGAGAUGAUGGAGGAGGAAGAGGAGGUACCAGAACCCAAAUCUGUGGAUACACCGCCAGGUGCUCCUAAGAAGGAACAUGUAAAUGUAGUAUUCAUGGGGCAUGUGGAUGCUGGCAAGUCAACCAUUGGAGGACAAAUAAUUCAUCACCUCAGCCUUUGGAGCUAUGACCCUGACCACCAGCAGCGGGACCAGUAGCUCAGUCUUUGGCAGCACCACCUCAUCGCCCUUGACGUCCAGCGUGUGAGCAGGUCCCGCUGGCAGAGGGCACUUUCGGAUGAGCAUGGAUGCCCCCCACAGCAGCUCCACCACUGGGAUAUUUGGCUUUGGGUCAGGACGGAGUGGGAGAACUGGUCUCAAGAACCCUUUCUGGGGAGGGUUGAAUCCGAACUCCCUGGGUGCAGCUGGCCAGAGCACACCCUCUACCUUCCACAUGGCCAGCACACCUCAGGACACGUCUGGGAUUGCAGCCACCACCUCGGGCUUUGGAGCUACGACCCAGAUCACCCGCAGCAGGACCAGUUCCUUAGUGUAUGGCAGUACCACCCCAUCACCCUUCAUGUCCUGGGUGCCAGCAGGCCCCGCUGGCAGUGGGGGCUUUGGGAUGAGCGUGGCUGCCCCCAACAGCAGCUCCACCACAAGGACGUUCCACUUUGCGGCAAGGUGGAGUCGGAAAACUGGUGGUACAGCACCUUUCGAAGGAGGCUUGAUUUAGAAAUCCCAGGGUGCUGCUGGACAGAAUACAUCCUCUGUCUGCCACGUGGCCAGCACGCCUCAGAACACAUCUGUGUUUGCAGCUACCACCUCGGGCUUUGGAGCUACGACCCAGACCACCAGCAGUGGGACCAGUAGCUCAGUGUUUGACAGCAGCACCUCAUCACCCUUCAUGUCUGGGGUAUCAGCAGGCCCUGCUCACAGUUGGGGCUUUGGGGUGAGCGUGGCUGCCCCCCACAGCAGCUCCACCACUGGGGCAUUCAGCUUUGGGGAGGACAGAGUGGGAGCAGUGGUGGCACAGCCCCUUUCUGGGGUGGCUUGAGUAAGAACUCCCUGGGUGCAGCUGGCCAGAGCACACCCUUUGCCUUCCACGUGGCCAGCAAGCCUCAGAAAACGUCUGUGUUUGCACAUCAGAUUUGGAAUGGGCUCGGUGCCGGAGUCCAGCUCCAGCUGAGGUGUGGGUCACGAAGGAAAGGACAGCGUCAGCGAGUGAGAUGAAUGAGGAGACAAAACACACAAUUAAAGUUGUAACAUCUCCUGACAUCAAGCGGCAGGGUCUUCAUUUUUGUAUCUUUCUACGGUUUUCAUAAUGUUGAACAUUUUUUAAAAUUAUGAAUAAUACAUUACUUUUUCUGUCAGUUUACAUAAUUUCAGCUUAUUACCCUUAAGGAAAUAUCAUUAUUUCUUCUAAUAGUAGCCAUUUAAGAUUUAAUUUUUAACUUUCCCCUAGUCUAUUUUGAUUGGUAAAUCAUGUAAGCUACGUGUUAGGUGCUAAACAGAAAAUGGCGUAAGACAGCGUGUGGGUUAAGCGUGUGGGCUAUGAUUUUUACUUUAAGCGUGUAAGAUUAUAUAGACUUUUAGAUAUGUGUCUAAGGCUAUAUAAAGUUUAAGCAGGUUAUAUAAAAUGCAAUCUAUAUGUCUUUUGGUUAUUAAGUGUAACUAUAUUAUUAAUUAAAUCCUAUCCUACACAUGUG